UCACUCACCCAAGUUGUUUUGCUGUUGGUUUUCAUCUGCUGGACGCCGAGUUCGACUGGCGCUGCCUUUUCCUUGGAGGAAGAAUUCCUACAACUGAAGGAAAAUUAUAUUCAAAUGAAACAAGUCGUGAAAAGCUUGGAAGCCAAAGUUGAACAAGUGAAGAGUUUGGAAUCCACAACGAUUGAACUGCAGG